rnacentral:rRNA from 1 species
AACGAACGCUGGCGGCAGGCCUAAUACAUGCAAGUCGAACGAUGUAGCAAUACAUAGUGGCGCACGGGUGAGUAACGCGUGGGAAUAUACCCUUGAGUGAGGAACAACACCGGGAAACUGGUGCUAAUACCUCAUAAUGGCUCCGGCCCAAAGCUCCGGCGCUCAAGGAAUAGCCCGCGUCAGAUUAGCUAGUUGGUGAGGUAACGGCUCACCAAGGCGACGAUCUGUAGCUGGUCUGAGAGGAUGAUCAGCCACACUGGAACUGAGACACGGUCCAGACUCCUACGGGAGGCAGCAGUAAGGAAUAUUGGACAAUGGGGGCAACCCUGAUCCAGCCAUGCCGCGUGAGUGAAGAAGGCCUUCGGGUUGUAAAGCUCUUUCAGAUGUGAAGAUGAUGACGGUAACAUCAGAAGAAGCUCCGGCUAACUCCGUGCCAGCCGCCGCCGUAA